GAUGAACGCUAGCGGCAGGCCUAACACAUGCAAGUCGAGGGGCAUCGCGGUGCAGCAAUGCACUGGCGGCGACCGGCGUACGGGUGCGUAACGCGUAUGCAACCUGCCCCGCACCGGGGGAUAGCCCGCCGAAAGGCGGAUUAAUACCCCAUGGUCCCGGGGGCCCGCAUGGGCAUCCGGGUAAAGCCUUGGCGGUGCGGGAUGGGCAUGCGUGCCAUUAGCUGGCUGGUGGGGUAACGGCCCACCAGGGCAACGAUGGCUAGGGGGUCUGAGAGGAUGGUCCCCCACACUGGUACUGAGACACGGACCAGACUCCUACGGGAGGCAGCAGUGAGGAAUAUUGGUCAAUGGGCGGAAGCCUGAACCAGCCAUGCCGCGUGCGGGAUGAAGGCCCUACGGGUUGUAAACCGCUUUUCCCCGGGAAGAAUAACCCCGAUGAGUCGGGGGAUGCCGGUACCGGGGAAUAAGGAUCGGCUAACUCGUG
rnacentral:rRNA from 1 species